rnacentral:rRNA from 1 species
UACAGAGGUGGCAAGCGUUGUUCGGAAUUACUGGGCGUAAAGGGCGCGUAGGCGGUCCCGUCAGUCCCUUGUGAAAUCCCCCGGCUCAACUGGGGAACUGCAAGGGAUACAGCGGGGCUUGAGUUCGGGAGAGGGAUGCGGAAUUCCAGGUGUAGCGGUGAAAUGCGUAGAUAUCUGGAGGAACACCGGUGGCGAAGGCGGCAUCCUGGACCGAUACUGACGCUGAGGAGCGAAAGCCAGGGGAGCAAACGGG